rnacentral:rRNA from 1 species
AGAGUUUGAUCCUGGCUCAGGACGAACGCUGGCGGCGUGCUUAACACAUGCAAGUCGAACGAUGAAGCUGUGCUUGCACAGUGGAUUAGUGGCGAACGGGUGAGUAACACGUGAGUAACCUGCCCUUCACUUUGGGAUAACUCCGAGAAAUCGGGGCUAAUACCGGAUAUGACUACUGGCCGCAUGGUUGGUGGUGGAAAGUUUUUCGGUGAGGGAUGGGCUCGCGGCCUAUCAGUUUGUUGGUGAGGUAGUGGCUCACCAAGGCGAUGACGGGUAGCCGGCCUGAGAGGGCGACCGGCCACACUGGGACUGAGACACGGCCCAGACUCCUACGGGAGGCAGCAGUGGGGAAUAUUGCACAAUGGGCGAAAGCCUGAUGCAGCGACGCCGCGUGGGGGAUGACGGCCUUCGGGUUGUAAACCUCUUUCAGCAAGGAAGAAGCGAAAGUGACGGUACUUGCAGAAGAAGCGCCGGCUAACUACGUGCCAGCAGCCGCGGUAAUACGUUGGGCGCAAGCGUUGUCCGGAAUUAUUGGGCGUAAAGAGCUUGUAGGUGGCUUGUCGCGUCUGCCGUGAAAACCCGAGGCUUAACCUUGGGCGUGCGGUGGGUACGGGCAGGCUAGAGUGCGGUAGGGGAGACUGGAAUUCCUGGUGUAGCGGUGAAAUGCGCAGAUAUCAGGAGGAACACCGAUGGCGAAGGCAGGUCUCUGGGCCGUUACUGACACUGAGAAGCGAAAGCAUGGGGAGCGAACAGGAUUAGAUACCCUGGUAGUCAAGGGCGAAUUCGUUUAA